CCGAGUGCUGGGAUUAAAGGGGUG
rnacentral:piRNA from 1 species